rnacentral:rRNA from 1 species
UGGGGAAUAUUGGACAAUGGGCGCAAGCCUGAUCCAGCCAUGCCGCGUGAGUGAUGAAGGCCCUAGGGUUGUAAAGCUCUUUCACCGGUGAAGAUAAUGACGGUAACCGGAGAAGAAGCCUCGGCUAACUUCGUGCCAGCAGCCGCGGUAAUACGAAGGGGGCUAGCGUUGUUCGGAUUUACUGGGCGUAAAGCGCACGUAGGCGGACUAUUAAGUCAGGGGUGAAAUCCCGGGGCUCAACCCCGGAACUGCCUUUGAUACUGGUAGUCUUGAGUUCGAGAGAGGUGAGUGGAAUUCCGAGUGUAGAGGUGAAAUUCGUAGAUAUUCGGAGGAACACCAGUGGCGAAGGCGGCUCACUGGCUCGAUACUGACGCUGAGGUGCGAAAGCGUGGGGAGCAAACAGG